UACGUAGGGGGCAAGCGUUGUCCGGAAUCAUUGGGCGUAAAGCGCGUGUAGGCGGUUCGAUAAGUCUGCUGUGAAAGUCCAGGGCUCAACCCUGGGAUGCCGGUGGAUACUGUCGAGCUAGAGUACGGAAGAGGCGAGUGGAAUUCCCGGUGUAGCGGUGAAAUGCGCAGAUAUCGGGAGGAACACCAAUUGCGAAGGCAGCUCGCUGGGACGUCACUGACGCUGAGACGCGAAAGCGUGGGGAGCAAACAGGG
rnacentral:rRNA from 1 species